rnacentral:rRNA from 1 species
ACCCUUCGGGAGGACGGUUACCACGGUGUGAUUCAUGACUGGGGUGAAGUCGUAACAAGGUAGCCGUAGGGGAACCUGCGGCUGGAUCACCUCCUUAAUCGACGA